GUCGGCAUUCCUACGUGCUCCUCUUUGCCCCCUACUUAAGAAUCCAAAGGUCACCUUUGGCUGUUGUCUUGACGCUUUGGUUACGAAAGUAGCCGGGGUCUAGGUUUAUGGAUGGAUUUUGUCAGCGAAAGUCCCUCAAACUCAAUCACAACAACAUGUCGUGACCGGUUAGGCUUGGUGGAUUUUGUCAGAAAAGAAAGUAGGUUUCGGGGGUGGGUUCAUUGAUUAGUACACCUCCGGUGCUGAUAAGGUCGGGACCGUGGUCGUCCGUCUCAGGUUUGCCGGCCGAUAAGAUCUCUGAGAUUGACCAGCC
rnacentral:lncRNA from 1 species